rnacentral:lncRNA from 1 species
GGGAUGAGGCAGGUGCUGGAGAUGGCGGACGGGCUGCGGCUCGAGACGAUGCGCGAGGUGGUGGCGCUGCUCCGCCCCGCGCAGGCCGUGCACUUCCUCCUCGCCGCCGCCGAGCUCCACCUCGCCGUGCAUGACUUCGGGCGCCGCAAGGACGGGCACGCCGGCAACGCCGCCGCCGCCGCCGCCGCGCCGCCGGAGUGACGCUGACGCGCCUGGCUGCUCUGCUUUGCGUGUAUCGUGUAAUGGCUCCCCUGUUCCAAGCGGCGC